GCAGCUUCUACGGCAAUUGAGCACGAAAUUUCAGCAGAGCCACCACCAUAUACAAUAGAGUUGUUGCGGAUCAGAUUCCUUGCCACACAUAGUGCAUCAUGAAGACUGCGCUUAGUUUCCUCGAUCAUCAUUUUGUUACCGCCACGAAUGAAGAUUGUCACAGCCCUCGAAUUUGCGCAAUUUUCAAUGUAUAGCAUCCUAUCUUUUGUGGUUCCAAAUGAUUUUUCCCUCACUAAACCAGCCUUCCCUAAUUUUUCAGGUGUCAACUCUUGGAACCUUGGAACAAUUCUCCCACCUGU
rnacentral:misc_RNA from 1 species